UACAGAGGUCCCGAGCGUUGUUCGGAUUCACUGGGCGUAAAGGGUGCGUAGGUGGUGAGGUAAGUUUGUGGUGAAAGCUCCGGGCCUAACCCGGAAAAUGCCUCGAAUACUAUCUUGCUAGAGGGUUGUAGGGGAGACUGGAAUUCUCGGUGUAGCAGUGAAAUGCGUAGAUAUCGAGAGGAACACCAGUGGCGAAGGCGAGUCUCUGGACAACUCCUGACACUGAGGCACGAAAUCCAGGGGAGCAAACGGG
rnacentral:rRNA from 1 species